GUGGUAGUAGCUCAGUUGGCAGAGCAUCCCGACUCGCAAAUCGUGAGGGUCGUGAGUUCGAGUCUCAUUUACUGCU
rnacentral:tRNA from 1 species